GCUAGUUGUACGCCUUUAAACUAUGGUAAAGGAGUAGCAUACUGCUCAGUAACACGUAGCUAACCUACCCUUGGGAUGGUGAUAACCCCGGGAAACUGGGGUCAAUAACCAAUAGGUAUGGAUUCCUGGAAUGGUUCCAUAUUGAAAUGUGUGUACACCCAUGUUGUGUACAUAUACCCGAGGAUGGGGCUGCGGUCGAUCAGGCUGUUGGUGAGGUAACGGCUCACCAAACCUUUGACCGAUACGGGCCAUGAGAGUGGUAGCCCGGAGAUGGGCACUGAGACAAGGGCCCAGGCCCUACGGGGCGCAGCAGGUACGAAACCUCCACAAUUCACGCAAGUGAGAUGGGGUUACCUCGAGUGCCGCCUGAAUAAGGUGGCUUUUCCGCUGUGUAACAAGCUGUGGGAAUAAGGGGGGGGCAAGACUGGUGUCAGCCGCCGCGGUAACACCAGCCCCCCGAGUGGUGGGGAUGCUUAUUUGGCCUAAAGCGUCCGUAGCUUGCUUUGUAAAUCUCUCGUUAAAUCCAGCGUCCUAAGCGUUGGGCUGCGAGAGAGACUGCAGAGCUAGAGGGUGGGAGAGGUCAGCGGUAUUUCUGGGGUAGGGGCGAAAUCCAUUGAUCCCAGGAGGACCACCAGUGGCGAAGGCUGCUGACUUGAACACGCCUGACAGUGAGGGACGAAAGCUGGGGUAGCGAAUCGGAUUAGAUACCCGAGUAGUCCCAGCCGUAAACGAUGCAGGCUAGGUGUU
rnacentral:rRNA from 1 species